GGGAAUGUAGCUCAAUGGUAGAGCACUUGUCUAGCAUCAUGAAACCCUAGGUCAAUUCCUAGCACCU
rnacentral:tRNA from 1 species